UUUCUCUUAGCUUAAUAAUAUAAAGCAUCAAUUUGAAGAGUUGAGGAUAAUCUUCUAGUUAGAGAGAC
rnacentral:tRNA from 1 species